rnacentral:siRNA from 1 species
ACCAACAAAGUCUCACAAGUUGA